CUAGGUCUAACUCAUAUUGUUAUCAGAAAAAUAUAGCGUAUAAAAUAAAAUAAUCCCAGAAAAAUAAUUAAAAUGGCCUUAUUACAACCCAAAACCAAAUAAUAAUAUUAAUAAGAUGCUACUUAUUGCAAUUACAAGAAAUAGAAACAGUAGUGUGGCCAUCUCCGAGUCUCUCGCAGCUCCAAACCAUCUAAGCUUAGGGAUUACCUGCACAGUUAGAAACGGGGUAAGUUUAUGAAAACUCAGUGUGUAAUCCCAACAACAAACAAACAGUGAAAACACAAUGUCAGUACAAUCUGGGCCAAAGCCCUAUUUAGUCUUGGCAUAUAUUGGGCCGAAGCCUUUUGUUUAGCGGUUACUGGGCCGAAGCUUUUUCAUAAAUCAUAUCACUAGGCCGAAGCCUUAUCAUAAAUCAUAUCACUGGGCCGAAGCCUUAUCAUAAAUCAUAUCACUGGGCUGAAGCCUUAUCAUAAAUCAUAUCACUAGGCUUCGCCUUAUCAUAAAUCAUAUCUCUAGGCCGAAGCAUUUUCAUAAAUCAUAUCACAAGGCCGAAGCCUUAUCAUAAAUCAUAUCACUGGGCCGAAGCCUUAUCAUAAAUCAUAUCACUGGGCCGAAGCCUUAUCAUAAAUCAUAUCUCUAGGCCAAAGCCUUUUCAUAAAUCAUAUCAUUGGGUCGAAGCCUUUACUAUAAAUCGUAUUGCCCUUAGGCCCAUUUUAGUAUCACAUGUAAUGUCAAUGGAUGUAUGCAAGCCUAUUUGGGGAGACUACUCGACCCACCAUCCGCUACUCUCCACCCGUACCAACCAACACACCAAGUGGGGAAUGAUUCAACCCACCCAACCAACACACCACUGGCAGCAUAGCUGCUUUAUCAUAUAUCUGGAGGCCUAGCCUCUUUUAAUAACUGGGGCAAAGCCCUUUUGAUAAACUGGGGCAAAGCCCUUUUCGGUAAACUGGGGCAUAGCCCUUUUAGCACUUCCUCCAUUUAUAAAACCCAACCCAUGCAACCUGACAUGCAUGCAGAAUGUCAUGCCCAUAUUUGAAUCAAACAAUCACAGUCAAGUCAUUCAUAUCACCAACAUAUAUUCACAAUCAAAUUCGUCAACCACACAGUCCAAGUCAGUCACUUACCCACAAGGGCAAAAUAGUCAUUUUUUACAUUAUAAGGGUAAUUUCGUAAUUUUACCAAAUAUCAGGGUUUUCCAUGUUCAUAAACAAUUAUCAAUAUUUUCGAGUGUUUAAACAAUGAUCUUUAACCCACUUUAUCAAACUCGGGCUUUUGGGCCCAAAACCUCUAAUGGGCCUACAAAUGCCGAUUUAGCCCAUUAAGCCCACAUAAUCCAAAUUUUACAACAGUACUAACCGUGUUAACGUGCAACUUUUCCAGAUUCCAUUUUCUAUCAGUUUUACCCAAAUGGGCCCGAAGCCCAUUGGGCCCGAUUCCAGCCUAUUGAGGCCCAACUUACCAUCGUGCACAAAAUUGAGUUCUUACAUGUUCCAUCGAUCCAAACACCGAUCUUAUCGUAUUUAUCGCAUCUAUACCCAAACGCAACAUUACAAGUUCCCAAAAUAUUGGUAUUUUAGCAUUUCGACUUCUCAGCAAAUAUUAAUCUAAGCUAUUACGAGGGUUAGUACACACCUGUUACGGGUUGAAGUUGAAACGUUUCCAAAAUCAAUCGCCUACGAUAACCACCACCUGUCACUCAAACUUAACUAAUCCAAUAUCAAUAUAUGUAAAUCCUAAGCACAUCAGUCAUACGGAACAUAAGGGCAUAUUCGUCAUUUUACCAUAUAGGGGUAUUACGGUCACUUUACCCUACAGGGGCUUUACGGUUUUUUUACCUAAUAGGGGUAUUUUAGUCAUUUCACCCUACAAGGGUGUUUUGGUAAAUCUACAAACCAAGGGUAUUUCAGUAAUUUUGUAAACCAAUGGUAUUUCUAUAAUUUUUAGAAAGUCAAGGGUAUUUUUGUAAUUUUGUAAAUCAGGGGUAUUUUGGUAAUUUUACAAAUUAAGGGUAUUUUGGUAAUUUCAUAAACCAGUGGUAUUUUGAUAAUUUUACAAACUAGGGGUAUUAUGGUAAUUUUACAAACCAAUGGUAUUUUAGUAAUUUUAUAGACUAGGGUAAUUUGGUAAUUUUACUGAUCGAGGGUAUUUUGGUAAUUUUGUAAACCAAGGGUAUUUUAGUAAUUUUAUAAAUCGAGGGUAAAACAGUAAUUCUGUAAAUCAAGGGUAAAAUAGUAAUUCUAUAAAUCGAGGGUAAAAUGGUAAUUCUGUAAAUCGAGGGUAAAACGGUAAUUAUGUAAAUCGAGGGUACUUUGGUAAUUUUACAAGUCGAGGGUAUUUUAAUAAGUUUACAGGUCGAGGGUAUUUCAGUAAUUUUACAAAUCAGGGGUAUUUUAGUAAUUUUACAAACUAAGGGUAUUUUGAUAAUUUUACAAACUAGGGGUAUUUUGGUAGUUUUACAAACUAGGGGUAUUUUGGUAAUUUGGUAAACUAAAGUAUUCUAAAUAGGGAUAACAAUACGAAUGGGCCUAAAGCCCUUUCUCAGCCCAAAUGGGCCCACACGCUCGUGUGGCCCAUUUAGCCCAAAUCUAGCCACAAAUAUGAGAUUCACCUAGCCUAGUCCAAUAUUUACUACACAACCAAACAACUUAUCCAAUUGGGCCCACAUGACCCUUUCGGCCCAUCGCGGCCCGAAGUAGCCAUCCUACAGCUAGAGUAGUGAGAAAUACACACCUGAUAGGAGACUGGAGUUAAUCCACGCUCCGAGCACUCUUAGCCGACGCCCAACCCAAACGAGCACGCCAUACAACGAAAGGGAUCAGCUAAGAAAGGUACCUCUACUCUCCUCAUGGUUCUCUCUAUUUAAAGCCAGCUUCGCAUCCCCUCUUAUGUUAGCUUCCCGAUGUGGGAUCCUUCCAACAUCAGAGUUUAAAUUCAACACCAACUCUUGCCGCCCCCUGUUAGCAAAAUAAAUGCUCCUUGCUUGCCAUGGGAUUCGAAUCCAUGCCUCCCCUCAGAUGCUCCACACGCUACUUUCCACUAAGCCACAAGGCUUUUUGUGUCAUAUUUUAUCCCCAAUUAAUUAUAAGGUCUAAAGGCCAAAGUCCAGGUUCCCUAAAAAAAACCAAAAUAAAUUGCAAGAGCCAAGGCUUGAACCCAGGCUCCCAUACAACCUUAAUGACGCCACAACCACUAGACUACAUGCUUCCUUGUGUCAUUUAUUUGCCACAAUAAUUUAAAAGGCCCUCAUUCAAGCAUCCAGGUUUUUUUUUCACUUAAUACCAAAAUUUUUGCUAAAGCCCAAGUUUAAACCCAAGAUUUCUCCAACACUUCUCAAAGCCAUUAACCACUAAAGUAAACAUUUAAUUGUGUUAUUUCAUUGCACAAUUAAAUACCUAUAUACAACCUCCUUAUAGACCCGCACUCAAGGCCCAAUACUUCUAGGCCCAAAUUCCGGUGUUACAAUUCUACCCCCUUAAAGAAAUUUCGUCCUCGAAAUUUUCCACUCUCAGACUACACCACCACAUUUUCGUUGCUCACUCUGAUACUAAUAAUACUAACAUACACCCAAAACAUUUAUCCAUCGGAGCAGAUAGAUUUCACAUGCAAACAAUUUCUACAUUUCCAGAACGCACACCAAAUAAAUACUAAAUCUAAAUUCAAGCGUUACAAUUUACUCUAACUAGAGAGUUCCAGUAUUGUGCUACUAUCUAUAGUAGUUUCUCAAUAUAGCAUUUCAAUCUAUAACAGUAAAUAGAGUUAGAGAACUUACAGAUUUGGCACCGGAGACUCGAUGUGCCACACCUCCAGUAACAUCUUUUUAGAAACAAGUCAAGUUUCGUUGAGAGAUUUCAAAACAAAAUUUUAGAAAAACCCUUUUCAAACCCCAAUUUUGAAAAAAAAAUAAUAAUAACAAUAAUUUUCUGUUAUCCAUACCACAGUCGAGUUUUGUAACCUGGCUCUGAUACCACUAAAUGUAACACCCCAAACCUCGCCCAGACGUUAUGGCCGGAUCCAACGUGUCACAUUGAAGUUUUUAAGAAAACCAAUGCCUCUUUCAACGUCCUUCUUAGUGUUUUAAAAGAUAGUCUUUGCUAAGUUAAUAAAGUGAAUGGAAGCUGUGCACCAGGUAGGUAUUCGAAACAGAGGAGGUGAGCCAUGAAGGCUGCUUAAGUACCAAUGCUCUUGAUUGGAUCCAAUCCUAGACAUGCCCACAACCAUUGCCACACUUUGUUGCAAGGUUAGGUUUUGAGAAAAACGAGUUGGAAUUCAUUUAAGUCGAUAUUUUUGAUAAACCAAUUAAUUGUAUCGUUGCGCUAUUUUGAAAACAAUUAUCAUUUUGGAAAUGCUCCCUAGGUUUAACUCAUAUUAUUAUCAGAAAAAUAUAGCGCAUAAAAUAAAAUAAUCCCAGAAAAAUAAUUAAAAUGGCCUUAUUACAACCCAAAACCAAAUAAUAAUAUUAAUAAGAUAAAACUUAUAAAGAAAUAAAUCGGCUACUUAUUGCAAUUAAAAGAAACAGAAACAGUAGUGUGGCCAUCUCCGAGUCCCUCACAGCUCUAAACCAUCUAAGCUUAGGGAUUACCUGCACAGUUAGAAACGGGGUAAGUUUACGAAAACUCAGUGUGUAAUCCCAAUAACAAACAAACAGUGAAAACACAAUGUCAGUACAAUCUGGGCCAAAGCCCUAUUUAGUCUUGGCAUAUACUGGGCCGAAGCCUUUUGUUUAACGGUUACUGGGCCGAAGCCUUUUCAUAAAUCAUAUCACUAGGCCGAAGCCUUAUCAUAAAUCAUAUCACUGGGCCGAAGCCUUAUCAUAAAUCAUAUCACUAGGCCGAAGCCUUAUCAUAAAUCAUAUCUCUGCGCCGAAGCCUUUUCAUAAAUCAUAUCAUUGGGCCGAAGCAUUUAUUGUAAAUGGUAUGGCCCUUAGGCCCAUUUCAAUAUCACAUGUAAUGUCAAUGGAUGUAUGCAAGCCCAUUUGGGGAGACUACUCGACCCACCAUCCGCUACUCUCCACCCGUACCAACCAACACACCAUGUGGGGAAUGAUUCAACCCACCCAACCAACACACCACUGGCAGCAUAGCUGCUUUAUCAUAUAUAUGGAGGCCUAGCCUCUUUUAAUAACUGGGGCAAAGCCCUUUUGAUAAACUGGGGCAAAGCCCUUUUCGGUAAACUAGGGCAUAGCCCUUUUAGCACUUCCUCCAUUUAUAAAACCCAACCCAUGCAACAUGUCAUGCAUGCAGAAUGUCAUGCCCAUAUUUGAAUCAAACAAUCACAGUCAAGUCAUUCAUAUCACCAACAUAUAUUCACAAUCAAAUUCGUCAACCACAUAGUCCAAGUCAGUCACUUGCCCACAAGGGCAAAAUAGUCAUUUUUUACAUUAUAAGGAUAAUUUCGUAAUUUUACCAAAUAUCAGGGUUUUCCAUGUUCAUAAACAAUUAUCAAUAUUUUCGAGUGUUUAAACAAUGAUCUUUAACCCACUUUAUCAAACUUGGGCUUUUGGGCCCAAAACCUCUAAUGGGCCUACGAAUGUCGAUUUAGCCCAUUAAGCCCACAUAAUCUAAAUUUUACAACAGUACUAACCGUGUUAACGUGCAACUUUUCCAGAUUCCAUUUUCUAUCAGUUUUACCCAAAUGGGCCCGAAGCCCAUUGGGCCCGAUUCCAGCCUAUUGAGGCCCAACUUACCAUCGUGCACAAAAUUGAGUUCUUACAUGUUCCAUCGAUCCAAACACCGAUCUUAUCGUAUUUAUCGCAUCUAUACCCAAACGUAACAUUACAAGUUCCCAAAAUAUUGGUAUUUUAGCAUUUCGACUUCUCAGCAAAUAUUAAUCUAAGCUAUUACGAGGGUUAGUACACACCUGUUACAGGUUGAAGUUGAAACGUUUCCAAAAUCAAUCGCCUACGAUAACCACCACCUGUCACUCAAACUUAACUAAUCCAAUAUCAAUAUAUGUAAAUCCUAAGCACAUCAGUCAUACGGAACAUAAGGGCAUAUUUGUCAUUUUACCAUAUAGGGGUAUUACGGUCACUUUACCCUACAGGGGCUUUACGGUUUUUUUACCUAAUAGGGGUAUUUUAGUCAUUUCACCCUACAAGGGUGUUUUGGUAAAUCUACAAACCAAGGGUAUUUCAGUAAUUUUGUAAACCAAUGGUAUUUCUAUAAUUUUUAGAAAGUCAAGGGUAUUUUUGUAAUUUUGUAAAUCAGGGGUAUUUUGGUAAUUUUACAAAUUAAGGGUGUUUUGUUAUUUUCACAAACCAGUGGUAUUUUGAUAAUUUUACAAACUAGGGGUAUUAUGGUAAUUUUACAAACCAGGAGUAUUUUAGUAAUUUUACAAACCAGGGUAAUUUGGUAAUUUUACUGAUCGAGGGUAUUUUGGUAAUUUUGUAAACCAAGGGUAUUUUAGUAAUUUUGUAAAUCAAGGGUAAAACAGUAAUACUGUAAAUCAAGGGUAAAAUAGUAAUUCUAUAAAUCGAGGGUAAAACGGUAAUUCUGUAAAUCGAGGGUAAAACGGUAAUUAUGUAAAUCGAAGGUACUUUGGUAAUUUUACAAGUCGAGAGUAUUUUAAUAAGUUUACAGGUCGAGGGUAUUUUAGUAAUUUCACAAAUUAUGGGUAUUUUGGUAAUUUUACAAACUAAGGGUAUUUUGAUAAUUUUACAAACCAGGGGUAUUUUGGUAGUUUUACAAACUAGGGGUAUUUUGGUAAUUUGGUAAACUAAAGUAUUCUAAACAGGGAUAACAAUAUGAAUGGGCCUAAAGCCCUUUCUCAGCCCAAAUGGGCGCACACGCUCGUGUGGCCCUUUUAGCCUAAAUCUAGCCACAGAUAUGAGAUUCACCUAGCCUAGUCCAAUAUUUACUACACAAUCAAACAACUUAUCCAAUUGGGCUCGUAGGCCCAUUGGGCCCACAUGGCCCUUUCGGCCCAUCACGGCCCGAAGUAGCCAUCCUACAGCUAGAGUAGUGAGAAAUACAUACCUGAUAGGAGACUGGAGUUAAUCCACGCUCCGAGCACUCUUAGCCGACGCCCAACCCAAACGAGCACGCCAUACAACGAAAGGGAUCAGCUAAGAAAGGUACCUCUACUCUCCUCAUGGUUCUCUCUAUUUAAAGCCAGCUUCGCAUCCCCUCUUAUGUUAGCUUCCCGAUGUGGGAUCCUUCCAACAUCAGAGUUU
rnacentral:lncRNA from 1 species